GAGUGCUAUAGAGAUUUUAUUAAAGACUCAUAUAAGCGACCCCACUCAACACUAGGUGAUUCCAUCAAUUUAUUUACCUAUAAAACACUAGACUGGUUUGUGCAUCAAAGAUUAAUUUGCAAGUAACACCCUUUUUUUAGCUCAAAAUUAUCCGCCAAGAAAACUCGAUUUCAAUGAAGUUUUUUUGAAGCUUUUUUUAGCACAGGAUAUUAUGAGCCUUGGCAUUUGAAACCGAAGACUUAGCAAACCAUUGGGCCUAGAUGAUAGAGCCUCCCGCCACGAGUGUCAUGGCAAUCGGCAACAUCAAAACGACAAACCACAUGUCUUAAUUGAAUAUAGCCUGGCUAUAGAACAAGACCAAAAGAAGUUAAACAUGUUCAGGCCCAUCGCAAACCCCGGCCCCUAUACGGUAAUCAAAAAGAUAAUCUAACAAAACAAGGUUUUGUCACCUGAGAUCAUGAGUUCUUUAUUUGUCAGAUUAAUAGAACACCUGAGUUCCACUUUUCAAACCUUGACCAAACCUUUACAAAAUGAAAAUGAAAGCUACGUGCCUAUCCUCAAGGCUACCAAUCUCUCAAAAAAUGGCCCCCAAAAAACCAAACCCACCAUUGAUGGCCUUGACAAGAAGAUAUUGUCCCCCAUGAUAGACAUUACGCCGUAGGUGCUCUGAUAUUGUUACUUGUUCUUGUUGGCAUCUCUUCCAUCUCUCCUAUUAAUUGUAUUGCUUCCUUGCCUCAAGCGCACUAGAGAUAUUGAAAGAGGAAUCAGUAUUUGCAGACACCAGGAUGCAGCGGAAUUAUAUUCUUUUAUUUCCAAUGGAACAGAGGAGGAUAGCCGGUGAUGCUCAAAGAAAUGUCAUUGCAUCGCAAGAAUUCGACUGUAAUUGGACACUCGUUUUUUUCCCUUGAGUUGUGCUGGUGUCAUCUUUUCGGUAACGCUCCCUAAUCUACUAUUAGCCAAGGAUGAAGGACUUGGGCAGCAAUUUUGGAUACAUAUUUUGCUCGACAUCAGUUAUCGACGUCCCUUUCCAGAAUAUCUCGAAAAAUAAGUUGCAUUGGCGUCGCAGCUUCGACGCUACACGUUGGCAAAGAAACCGCACCAACUGGAGCCUGCUUGAAUUGAAAUGCGCUCUAAACCCUGUUAGAUUUGAUUUUGAAGCAUUUACCAAAUUAAAAGUAAAACAAAAUACUCCGAAGAGAGCCAUAUAAAGUGGCUUUUCACUUUAUCGAAGGCACUCGUACUACAAGAACCGGCACCUUAGUUGCAACAAUACAUGUAUCAGUUGGCAUUGUCAGGAGAUAUAGUCUAUGGUAUUUGUGAAAGCUUCAC